AAAAUCAUACAAAUAUGAGUAUGUGCUUAUGACAGAUGAAAGAGGGAUAGUCACCAGUAUGCUAAUGAUCAUCAUCUCUGGAAUGUGGGAUUUCAGUUGAUGAUCUCAUCACUGUGUCUGUGACUUUCAAACCAGAGAUUCUGCUGUGGGACUUCUCUCUCGACAAGAUGCUGUUUCAAAAUUGAUUAGUUCUCCAACCCGCCCACUGAAAUCAUCCAACCUAUUGAAGAAGCAGAAUGGGAUGUGGAUUAUAGGGUUUCAGAUAACACCAAGUCCCUUGU